rnacentral:lncRNA from 1 species
GCCAUCUCAAGUUUUUAAAUACUGUUUUAGGUAGAUCCAAACCUAAACAUUUUAGUUAUAUGUACUGUCCUUUCUUCUGUAAAAUGUUUCUGGUCACUUUUAAUGAAAAUGAAAAGAGAGAGAGAUUUAUCCAGAUGAAUCCAGCACCUCGGGUGCUGAGGGAGCUGGCGGGGGUCAUUGCUGAGCCGCUCUCGGCCAUCUAUCAGCAUUCCUGGCUAACUAGAGAGGUCCCAGAGGAUUGGAGGCUUGCUGGUGUGACUCCCAUCUUCAAGAAGGGCCGUAAGGAGGAUCCGGGGAACUACAGGCCUGUCAGCCUGACCUCGGUACCGAGGAAAGUUAUGGAGCAAAUCAUCUUGGGUGAGAUCGCACGGCAUGUGCGUGGUGUCCAGGGGAUCAGGCCCAGCCAGCACGGGUUCAUGAAAGGCAGGUCGUGCUUGACCAACCUCAUCUCCUUCUACAACUGGGUGACCAGACUGGUAGAUGAGGGAAAGGCUAUUGAUGUAGUCUACCUGGACUUCACCAAAGCCUUUGACAUGGUCUCUUACAGCCUUCCUCUGGGGAAACUGGCUGCCCGUGGCCUGGACAGGUACACACUCCUUUGGGUAAGGAACUGGCUAGAGGGCUGUGCUCAACAGGUGGUGGUUAAUAGAGUUAAGUCCAGCUGGCGACCUGUUUCAAGUGGUGUCCCCCAGGGGUCAGUAUUGGGGCCUAUCUUGUUUAAUAUCUUUAUUGAUGACCUAGAUGAGGGGAUUGAGUGUACCCUCAGUAAGUUUGCAGAUGACACCAAGUUGGGAGGUGGUGUUGAUCUGCCUGAGGGUAGGGAGGCCCUUCAGAGGGACUUAGAUAAGCUGGAUCGCUGGGCUGAAGUGAAUGGAAUGAGGUUCAACAAGGCCAAGUGCUGGGUCCUGCACUUUGGCCACAAUAACCCCAUGCAGCGCUAUAGACUUGGGGAUGAGUGGCUGGAUGACUGUGAAGAGGAAAGGGACCUGGGGGUGUUGGCUG